rnacentral:rRNA from 1 species
AUUGAACGCUGGCGGCAUGCCUUACACAUGCAAGUCGAACGGUAACGCGGGGCAACCUGGCGACGAGUGGCGAACGGGUGAGUAAUGUAUCGGAGCGUACCUUUCAGUGGGGGAUAACGUAGCGAAAGUUACGCUAAUACCGCAUACUCUGUGAGCAGGAAAGCAGGGGAUCGCAAGACCUUGCGCUGAUUGAGCGGCCGAUAUCAGAUUAGCUAGUUGGUGAGGUAAAGGCUCACCAAGGCGACGAUCUGUAGCGGGUCUGAGAGGAUGAUCCGCCACACUGGAACUGAGACACGGUCCAGACUCCUACGGGAGGCAGCAGUGGGGGAAUUUUGGACAAUGGGCGCAAGCCUGAUCCAGCCAUGCCGCGUGAGUGAAGAA